GACGAACGCUGGCGGCGUGCUUAACACAUGCAAGUCGGACGGAAAGGCCCUGCUUUUGUGGGGUGCUCGAGUGGCGAACGGGUGAGUAACACGUGAGUAACCUGCCCUUGACUUUGGGAUAACUUCAGGAAACUGGGGCUAAUACCGGAUAGGAGCUCCUGCUGCAUGGUGGGGGUUGGAAAGUUUCGGCGGUUGGGGAUGGACUCGCGGCUUAUCAGCUUGUUGGUGGGGUAGUGGCUUACCAAGGCUUUGACGGGUAGCCGGCCUGAGAGGGUGACCGGCCACAUUGGGACUGAGAUACGGCCCAGACUCCUACGGGAGGCAGCAGUGGGGAAUAUUGCACAAUGGGCGGAAGCCUGAUGCAGCAACGCCGCGUGCGGGAUGACGGCCUUCGGGUUGUAAACCGCUUUCGCCUGUGACGAAGCAUGAGUGACGGUAAUGGGUAAAGAAGCACCGGCUAACUACGUGC
rnacentral:rRNA from 1 species